rnacentral:rRNA from 1 species
AAAAUUAGAGUGUUCAAAGCAGGCAGAUCCAAUUUUCUGCCACCGAAUACAUUAGCAUGGGAUAAUGGAAUAGGACCCUGUCCUCCUAUUUUCAGUUGGUUUGCCGCGAGGACCAGGGUAAUGAUUAAUAGGGAUAGUUGGGGGCAUUAAUAUUUAAUUGUCAGAGGUGAAAUUCUUGGAUUUAUGAAAGAUUAACUUUCUGCGAAAGCAUCUGCCAAGGAUGUUUUCAUUAAUCAAGAACGAAAGUUAGGGGAUCGAAGACGAUCAGAUACCGUCGUAGUCUUAACCAUAAACGAUGCCGACCAGCGAUUAGGAGACGUUGAAUACAAAACACCACCAUGCGCAUUGCGGUCGUCUUUGGUGUGUCGCUCACAAGGCGGCAUCAUCGGGACGGCUUAGCUCGCAUGGCACCGGUGAA